rnacentral:rRNA from 1 species
GAUGAACGCUAGCGGCAGGCUUAAUACAUGCAAGUCGAGGGGGAUUAGUUGUCUAGCAAUAGAUGGCUAUGAGACCGGCAAACGGGUGCGGAACACGUACGCAACCUUCCCAAAACUGGUGAAUAGCCCUCCGAAAGGAGGAUUAAUACACCGUAACUUAAUGAGGUGGCAUCACUUUAUUAAUAUAGCUCCGGCGGUUUUGGAUGGGCGUGCGCCUGAUUAGGUAGUUGGCGGGGUAACGGCCCACCAAGCCUACGAUCAGUAACUGGUGUGAGAGCACGACCAGUCACACGGGCACUGAGACACGGGCCCGACUCCUACGGGAGGCAGUAGUAAGGAAUAUUGGACAAUGGAGGGAACUCUGAUCCAGCCAUGCCGCGUGAAGGAUGAAGGCGCUCAGCGUUGUAAACUUCUUUGGAUGGGAACAAUAACUUCUACGUGUAGGAGCUUGAGGGUACCAUCAGAAUAAGCACCGGCUAACUCCGUGCCAGCAGCCGACGG